AGCUACCGCUUAGAUUUGUAAGCAUUGUUGUUUAUUUUAGUAAAUGGUGAAUCAUUAUUAAAUAUUUACAGGGGUGUAGUGACAUUAUUCUGGAUGCUGUUCAUGAAAAACUGGCUAAACUAGCAACCGUCUCCUUACUUUGCCUCCUAAUACAGAUCGUUUUGGUGUUGUUUGUUUUGUGUUGGUACUAUAUUCUCUUCCGUAACAAAACAGUCCACUAUUGCUGUUCCUGCUGUGUCUAUGAAAUGGUCGAAAUUGAAGACGAUGAAAAAAAUUGUUCAGCUUAAACAGACUCAGUAUAAAUAAAUAAUUCAUGAUUAUGUAAAUAGACCUGUCAUAUUUUAAACGAGUAUAUCAGUCGUUAGAUUUCUAUUAGUUUGUAUAUGAAAUAUGUUUAUUUAGUACAUGUAAUAUAAUAUUCACAAAGCAUGUCAAUUAAAAUUACUAAUGCGCGGGCAUAAACUAUACUUAGCGCCCUCUAGAGUCGCUGAACUUUCAGUAAGUUUUAGAUCCCUGCCAUUUUGUUUAGGGUUCAGCU